GGGCGGGUAGCUCAGUGGGGAGAGCAUCGGCCUUACAAGCCGGGGGUCCGCAGUUCGAGCCUGCGUCCGCCCACCA
rnacentral:tRNA from 3 species